rnacentral:rRNA from 1 species
GACGAACGCUGGCGGCGUGCUUAACACAUGCAAGUCGAACGGAAAUGUCCUGCUAUUGUGGGGUGCUCGAGUGGCGAACGGGUGCGUAACACGAGAGUAACAUGACCUUGCCUUUGGGGUAACUUCAGGAAACUGGGGCUAAUACCAGAUAGGAGCUCCUGCUGCAUGGUGGGGGUUGGAAAGUUUCGGCGGUUGAGGAUGGACUCGCGGCUUAUCAGCUUGUUGGUGGGGUAGUGGCUUACCAAGGCUUUGAGGGGUAGCCGGCCUGAGAGGGUGACCGGCCACAUUGGGACUGAGAUACGGCCCAGACGCCUACGGGAGGCAGCAGUGGGGAAUAUUGCACAAUGGGCGGAAGCCGGAUGCAGCAACGCCGCGUGCGGGAUGACGGCCUUCGGGUUGUAAACCGCUUUCGCCUGUGACGAAGCGUGAGUGACGGUAAUGGGUAAAGAAGCACCGGCUAACUACGUG